rnacentral:rRNA from 1 species
UACGUAGGGGGCUAGCGUUGUUCGGAAUUACUGGGCGUAAAGCGCGUGUAGGCGGCUAAGUAAGUCGGGCGUGAAAUCCCACGGCUCAACCGUGGAAGUGCACUCGAAACUGCAUAGCUAGAGUCCUGGAGAGGAAGGUGGAAUGCUUGGUGUAGAGGUGAAAUUCGUAGAUAUCAAGCGGAACACCGGUGGCGAAGGCGGCCUUCUGGACAGUGACUGACGCUGAGACGCGAAAGCGUGGGGAGCAAACAGG